AACAGGAUUAGAUACCCUGGUAGUCCACGCCCUAAACGAUGUCUACUAGUUGUCGGGUUUUAAUUAACUUGGUAACGCAGCUAACGCGUGAAGUAGACCGCCUGGGGAGUACGGUCGCAAGAUUAAAACUCAAAGGAAUUGACGGGGACCCGCACAAGCGGUGGAUGAUGUGGAUUAAUUCGAUGCAACGCGAAAAACCUUACCUACCCUUGACAUGUACGGAAGCCACGAGAGGUCGAGGUGUGCUCGAAAGAGAACCGUAACACAGGUGCUGCAUGGCUGUCGUCAGCUCGUGUCGUGAGAUGUUGGGUUAAGUCCCGCAACGAGCGCAACCCUUGUCAUUAGUUGCUACAUUUAGUUGAGCACUCUAAUGAGACUGCCGGUGACAAACCGGAGGAAGGUGGGGAUGACGUCAAGUCCUCAUGGCCCUUAUGGGUAGGGCUUCACACGUCAUACAAUGGUACAUACAGAGGGCCGCCAACCCGCGAGGGGGAGCUAAUCCCAGAAAGUGUAUCGUAGUCCGGAUCGCAGUCUGCAACUCGACUGCGUGAAGUUGGAAUCGCUAGUAAUCGCGGAUCAGCAUGUCGCGGUGAAUACGUUCCCGGGUCUUGUACACACCGCCCGUCACACCAUGGGAGCGGGUUUUACCAGAAGUAGGUAGCUUAACCGCAAGGAGGGCGCUUACCACGGUAGGAUUCGUGACUGGGGUGAAGUCGUAACAAGGUAACC
rnacentral:rRNA from 1 species